UUGCCAGCCCGCUCAGAACUUAAGGAAGUUGACGGGGCCCGCACAAGCGGUGGAGCAUGUGGUUUAAUUCGAUGAUACGCGAGGAACCUUACCUGGGCUCAAAUGUAUGUUGACGUAUUCUGAAAGGGAUACUUCUUCGGACAAUAUACAAGGUGCUGCAUGGUUGUCGUCAGCUCGUGCCGUGAGGUGUCGGGUUAAGUCCCAUAACGAGCGCAACCCCUAUCAUUAGUUGCCAUCAGGUCAAGCUGGGGACUCUAAUGAAACUGCCUACGCAAGUAGUGAGGAAGGUGGGGAUGACGUCAAAUCAGCACGGCCCUUACGUCCAGGGCUACACACGUGCUACAAUGGCCGGUACAAAGGGCAGCUACCUGGUGACAGGAUGCUAAUCUCAAAAGCCGGUCUCAGUUCGGAUCGGAGUCUGCAACCCGACUCCGUGAAGUUGGAUUCGCUAGUAAUCGCGCAUCAGCCAUGGCGCGGUGAAUACGUUCCCGGGCCUU
rnacentral:rRNA from 1 species